CGGUAACACCAGCGCCACGAGUGGCAACCAUGAUUAUUGGGCCUAAAGCGUUCGUAGCCGGUUUAGUGAAUCUUCUGUGAAAUUGUGCAGCUUAACUGUACAACGUGCAGGAGACACUACUAAACUUGAGACCGGGAGGAGCUGAGGGUAUUCUUGGGGGAGCGGUAAAAUGUUGUGAUCCCUUGAAGACCACCUGUGGCGAAGGCGCUCAGCUAGAACGGAUCUGACGGUGAGGGACGAAAGCCAGGGGAGCGAUCCGGAUUAGAUACCCGAGUAGUCCUGGCCGUAAACGCUGCGAGCUAGGUGUUGCACAUACUUCGAGUAUGUGCAGUGUCGAAGCGAAGGCAUUAAGCUCGCCGCCUGGGAAGUACGGUCGCAAGACUGAAACUUAAAGGAAUUGGCG
rnacentral:rRNA from 1 species